rnacentral:lncRNA from 1 species
AAUUAUAUAUGUGAUUUAAGUGAUAUAAUCAUAAACCUAAACUCUUAUUUAUACAUAAUUAUAUAUGUAUGUGGGCCUAGCAGGCCGGGCUUUUGUGGGCGGGUUGGGCCAGGCUUUCUUGGGCUUAAUCAAGCCGGGCUGGGCUUCAAACACCCAAGCCCAAGCCUAGCCCAGCCCAAGGCCGGCCGGGCCAUCUCAAAGUCCAUAACAGGCCGGGUCGGGUUUUUUUUCAAUAGGCCGGGGAGCCGCCAUCGGCCCAUGAGCCCGCGGGCCAAAUGAUGAGGCCUAUGGCUGGUGGUGAGAUUAGGAAGCUAGGUUGGUUGUCGUGGGGUCAAGUGGGUAGUUUGGUAGUUGUUUGCUGGGCUUUUUUUUUUCUUUCUAAUUUUCUGUUUUUAUUUUUACUUUUAUUUUGACUCAACAGUGUUAAUUUAGAGUUAAGUUGCUGUUAAGGCAUGAACAAAUUAGCUAAGGAACUAAAGUCUAGAAUAAGUGGGUUGUGUGACCUUAGAAGUCAUUUUAUAAACGGGUAAAUUUGUCUUUAAAAUUUUGAAGAUAAAGUGGGUGGGGAAAUGGGACAAAGAGGUAGAAAUAGCAGCACUCAUUUUUAUUUUUCUCAAGUACAAAGGAGAGUAAAUAGGGAAUACAAUGUUGGAUGAACCUGACCGCAUGUACUACUUUUGAGUAUGGAGUUAACUUCAAGAACCAUUAAUGACAAAAAAUAAAAUAAAAUAAAAGCGCAACUUGAUAAUUUCAUAGACUUCUGUUGUGAUAAAAACCCUUAAAUAAUACAUAAAUAGUAAAAUCUCAGAAGAAAUAUAUUUGGACUCUGAAAGUGAU